rnacentral:lncRNA from 1 species
AUCGGGUGGUUCUAGUCGGUGAGCCUGUGAAAACCGACCGAGUUCGUUGUGAUCUCGUAAAACAACAAGUUGGGUUGUGAACUUGAAAAACAACCGGCUGUAAUCCGAGGAAUUAUAGUGAAUUCCCAAGUGAGGCUUGGGGAGUGGACGUAGGAGUAAGGGUUAGCUCUGAACCACUAUAAAAUUGCUUGUGUUUGUGAUUG